rnacentral:rRNA from 1 species
UACGAAGGGGGCUAGCGUUGCUCGGAAUCACUGGGCGUAAAGCGCACGUAGGCGGAUUUCUAAGUCAGGGGUGAAAUCCUGGAGCUCAACCCCAGAACUGCCUUUGAUACUGGGAAUCUCGAGUCCGGGAGAGGUGAGUGGAACUGCGAGUGUAGAGGUGAAAUUCGUAGAUAUUCGCAAGAACACCAGUGGCGAAGGCGGCUCACUGGCCCGGUACUGACGCUGAGGUGCGAAAGCGUGGGGAGCAAACAGG